AAAAGAAGAAAAAAAAAGUUGGUUUUGAAAAUUUCUUCCACUAGCUGAGUGCCCAAAACAUCAACUUGUUUUGCCUUCUCUCUCCCUCAACCUUUCUCUUUCUCUGAACCGUACACCGCUCUCUAGUCUUCGCCUGAGGUUAUCAGGAGAUGGUCAUCUCUUUAUACCAGGGUACCAUUUGAGGAGCAGUCUACGAAAAAUUGGGUAUUGUAAGAGGUCUUACUUGGCCAGGUUGACAUCUAUUGAUUGCUGACAUGGAGGAUGAGAAUGGCCUGGAGCUUAGCCUUGGUUUAGGUUGUGGAGGAUCAUCUGCGAAAUCCAAAGGUAAAAAUGGCUCUUCAGAUACUAGGACAGAAGAAGGUGAUAGAGGCAACAAAUUGGUAGAUGAUUUCAAAAACUUUCUUCAUGCUAGUACCCAGAAGCAGGAUUCAAGUGCUGGGUCUCAAAUAAGUGAUUCUGUGAAACCUCAGGAGAACUUCUUUAAUGACCUGUCCAAGGGCAAUGCUGAUGCAAAUGCUUCAAUAAACUUGAACAAUAGGGGGCUUUGGGUUUCGAGCGGCAAAAGACCUGCUGAAAUUGAAGAAGAAAAAAGACCAGAGGCAGGUAACAAACGUAAAAUGUUAUUUGAUGAGAUAAAUAAUCAGAAGAAGCAUGAGAGAGAUGCUUAUCAUUCUGAUGUACAUGACAAGAAAGCGUCACAUAUUUCCAUAACAACAGAAGAUGGCUCUACUGCUGAAAAUGAAGAUGUGGCAGAGUCUGAAGUAGAGGGUUCAAUUUCACGGUUGGUCUCUCAUCAUGAUGAUGGCUCCAAGCGUUUUAUUGGAGCUGGUGGUCGUGAGGGUCCAAAGCAGGUUCAUGGGUUUUUUGAUUCUAGUGUUGUAGACUUAAAAGGGCAAAAGAGGCCUAAUGGUUCAUCAGAAUCUGAAAUUAAGCAUGGAAACUUGAAUUAUGGAGUUCCAUUCUCUGUCCGACCAGUAAACAUCAUGAAUUUACCAUACUCAUUUCCUGUAAAAGAAUCUAACACUAUUGGUGUGCCCAGCUCUUCAGGCCAUCCUCUGCCAGGAAUGAUGCAGGUUACGUCAAAUGGUGAGCAGCGAACAGGGACUCAGUCUGUGAAUCCUGGAAAUUUGCCUGUAAUGUUUGGCUAUUCACCUGUACAGCUUCCAACGCUGGAUAAGGAUAACUCAUGGGGCUUGGUCUCUCAUCUUCAACAGCUCCAUCCUUCCUGUGCUGGCAGAGGACCAUCAAAUUCAGAUAAGCAAAAUGAUGUGUUGAAGAUUGCACCAGCCAUGCAAGGAAUUUCACGGAAUUCAUCUGAAGCUACACUGUAUGACGGGAGGACAUUAGAACGGGUCAAAGGUGAUGGCAAACAGCACAUUACAGAAGAAGGCUUCACGUCUCAGACUGAAGAUGAUGUAAAAGGAAGCAGCAUGAACCUUGGGCCAAAAGAUGCGCCUGGGCCAUCAACAGCAGAAGGUUUCUCCUAUGAUUUUUCUGCCAUAAAGCCCGGUAUUGCAUCAGACAUAAAAUUUGGUGGAUGUGGUUCCUAUCCAAAUUUACCAUGGGUUUCAACCACAGGUUCUGGCCCUCAUGGCAGAACAAUUUCUGGUGUCACUUACAGAUACAGUGCAAACCAAAUCAGAAUUGUUUGUGCUUGCCAUGGUUCCCAUAUGCUUCCCGAGGAAUUUGUUAGGCAUGCAAGUGAAGAGAAUGUCAAUCCAGAUAAUGGCACUGGGGUAGCCUCAUUUCCAAGUGCCAAUCCUGCUGCCUCUGCUCAGAGUUGAAGGUUAUCAUCUUUUUUCCAGCAGGAGCAAUCGAAUUCAGCAUAUGUUCAAGCAAAACCAGGUUAUGACCUAUAUCAUAUAUAAGACGCCUCUUUAGUUUUUGUUGUUCUCUUUGUUUUUUUAUUUGCUUUUACCAACUUAGUUGCUGCAUUCAAAUGUUGCAGAUAUAUGUAAUAAUGUUGUAGUAUCCAUAAAUUUGUUUCAUAGUAAUGUCAAAGCAGUUCAAUCUAAAAUUCCAACAGCUUCCUGUCGUUUGAAUAGAUUUCAUCAUGCCUGUGUGGUUGAUGAUUUAUGUGAUUUCAUUCAAUGAUAGUUAAUGGAGUACAUCAUGUCAAGG
rnacentral:misc_RNA from 1 species